rnacentral:rRNA from 1 species
CCGGAAUUAUUGGGCGUAAAGCGCGCGCAGGCGGUCCUUUAAGUCUGAUGUGAAAGCCCACGGCUCAACCGUGGAGGGUCAUUGGAAACUGGGGGACUUGAGUGCAGAAGAGGAAAGCGGAAUUCCACGUGUAGCGGUGAAAUGCGUAGAGAUGUGGAGGAACACCAGUGGCGAAGGCGGCUUUCUGGUCUGUAACUGACGCUGAGGCGCGAAAGCGUGGGGAGCA